rnacentral:rRNA from 1 species
CAGCAGCCGCGGUAAUACGAAGGGGGCUAGCGUUGUUCGGAAUUACUGGGCGUAAAGCGCACGUAGGCGGAUAUUUAAGUCAGGGGUGAAAUCCCAGAGCUCAACUCUGGAACUGCCUUUGAUACUGGGUAUCUUGAGUAUGGAAGAGGUGAGUGGAAUUCCGAGUGUAGAGGUGAAAUUCGUAGAUAUUCGGAGGAACACCAGUGGCGAAGGCGGCUCACUGGUCCAUUACUGACGCUGAGGUGCGCAAGCGUGGGGAGCAAACAGGAUUAGAUACCCGUGUAGUCCCUGUCUCUUAUAC